rnacentral:sRNA from 1 species
GUCUCCGAUAGUGCGGCGUAGAUGCAUUU